rnacentral:lncRNA from 1 species
UGGAUUGUACUCAAUUAAAGGAUAAGGUUGGAGUAAUUAUAAUUAGGUAAUAAUAUAUAAAAUUUAUCUGAAUUGUGGGCUAUUUUGAAUUUAUUAUCCGACAUUUCAAUUUUUGAUUUUACUACCGUGUAUUUCAAGUUGUUUGAUUUAAGUUCUUUAAAAUUUAAAUUAAUUUUUUAUUUUAAUGAAUAUAUAUCUGUAAAAAUUGUAUGAAAUAUACUAACUAAAUUUAUAAAGAUAAAUACCAUAUUCAAAGUUUAAAGUCAAAAAUUUUAAGAUUUGAAUAAUCGAUUCAAAAUAGUGCAUAGUUCAGAUGAGUCAAAAUUUUUAAGAUUUGGAUAAUCGAUUAAAGUCUGAAGUUUAGUUGCUUCACAUUAUCAGAUAAAUUGAUUUUUUUUUUGAGAGAUCGGUAGCACGCUAUUCGUUUCAUUUAUUUCAUUUAGAAAUAAACUUAGCUAGAAAUAUGAAUCAGUUAGAAUUCGAACUUGGGACCUCGGGUACCAACCACCAAGUCCUUUAGGGACGGUCGGUCAAAUAAAUUGAUUUCUAAAAUUUUUUAAAAAAUGAAACUGGUAGCAUAUUAUCUUUCUCUCCCUAAAAAAAAAAAAAUUGGUUGUUACGGAGCUCACGAUAUCAUAAAGUAUGUUUAACGUCACUUAGGCUUAGUUUGGUAUUGAGGUCUUCUAACGUUAUUAGAUAAAAUAGAGUUGAGGAAAAAGCAUAUAGGGAUAUGCUUCUGCAUUCUCCGAUAGGACCGCAGAAAAUAUAUUGUAACCGACUCAUCACAAUAUGCGAAACACAAUAUUACGUACGGAAACAAACACCCCGGAAUCCCAAACGAAGCCUUAGACUUGGAUACCCAAUUUUCCAAAAAAAAUGUGAAGGCCGAUAUCCAAAUAAGAUAUUCAAAACUAAUUUAUUCAGCAUAAAAAUUUCAAAUAUGAUUAUAAAUAGAAAUUUUGAUUUUUGAAAGUCGUAUUUGGAUG